CCUACGGGGGGCAGCAGUGGGGAAUAUUGCACAAUGGGGGGAACCCUGAUGCAGCCAUGCCGCGUGAAUGAAGAAGGCCUUCGGGUUGUAAAGUUCUUUCGGUAGCGAGGAAGGCAUUUAGUUUAAUAGACUAGAUGAUUGACGUUAACUACAGAAGAAGCACCGGCUAACUCCGUGCCAGCAGCCGCGGUAAUACGGGGGGUGCGAGCGUUAAUCGGAAUAACUGGGCGUAAAGGGCACGCAGGCGGUGACUUAAGUGAGAUGUGAAAGCCCCGGGCUUAACCUGGGAAUUGCAUUUCAUACUGGGUCGCUAGAGUACUUUAGGGAGGGGUAGAAUUCCACGUGUAGCGGUGAAAUGCGUAGAGAUGUGGAGGAAUACCGAAGGCGAAGGCAGCCCCUUGGGAAUGUACUGACGCUCAUGUGCGAAAGCGUGGGGAGCAAACAGGAUUAGAUACCCGGGUAGUC
rnacentral:rRNA from 1 species